GACGAACGCUGGCGGCGUGCUUAACACAUGCAAGUCGAACGGAAAGGCCCUUCGGGGUACUCGAGUGGCGAACGGGUGAGUAACACGUGGGUGAUCUGCCCUGCACUUUGGGAUAAGCCUGGGAAACUGGGUCUAAUACCGAAUAGGACCACGCGCUUCAUGGUGUGUGGUGGAAAGCUUUUGCGGUGUGGGAUGGGCCCGCGGCCUAUCAGCUUGUUGGUGGGGUAAUGGCCUACCAAGGCGACGACGGGUAGCCGGCCUGAGAGGGUGACCGGCCACACUGGGACUGAGAUACGGCCCAGACUCCUACGGGAGGCAGCAGUGGGGAAUAUUGCACAAUGGGCGCAAGCCUGAUGCAGCGACGCCGCGUGAGGGAUGACGGCCUUCGGGUUGUAAACCUCUUUCAAUAGGGACGAAGCGCAAGUGACGGUACCUAUAGAAGAAGCACCGGCCAACUACG
rnacentral:rRNA from 1 species